rnacentral:lncRNA from 1 species
GGCUCCGCAGCUGUGAUGGGUCUGCGCCUCCACCGGAGGCCCGGGACCUUGUCUCGAUCCUCGGGGAUCGAUCCCUUGGACGGCAGAGGGAACUUCAAGAGACUCCGAAAGGACGGCGGGGAAGGCCAGAAAAUGUUAGCAGUCCCCGCCGGGCCCCAAGUCCCUCCGGAGGUGCGCGAGGGAGAAAAGAUUCCUGUUGAGAUGAAAUAAGUCUGAAGUUGACCUGCACCUUGGCUCUUGCCCCUUGCCGAGGUCGUCGGGUCGCUGUACUGCCCACCCCAGCUCAGGUCGGGCGCUCUCUGCUGCACCCAGCCACCCUCGCUGCCAGGUUUUGUGUCUUUAUGGCGCUCCCCCGUGGGAAAUGCUUUGGGCUGGGGGAACUUUCGUAGCUUGAUAAUUCCUUUCCUUCUUAGUUACCUAGCCAAGGGGACCCAGUCAUCUCCAACGUCUCCCCAGCAGCAGAGCGCAGCCACUUGUCCCCAAUCUUCCUAACGUUGAGAAGUGAUCCCUGGCCAGGUCCGGGUGUUCACAUCGACAGAGCCCACUACCGGACUAUGACAGGAGAAAGCAACUCGCUACAGCCCUAGAUACCGGGAACUCACGGUGCUUUCAAGGGAGAUCCCCUGGAACCACUUCUAGCCAUUCCGGGACACCUAGGUGUAGAAGGGGAAGGGUGUAAGAAUGCGAGCACCUGCUGCACAGAAGGGACAGCCGGAGGGUCGCAAGCUGUCUGGAACAGCUACUGUGACUCUGAGCUCCGACGUCUCCCCGGUGCUGAUGGGGACAGUCUCCCAGGGGACCAAGAUGAGAGGCUCUACCCGCAGAAACUUGUCCCAUAACCCCGCGUUGUUCUGGGUGCCAACAUCGACUUCCCAGGGACGCAGACACCAUUGGGUCCUCCGAUGCUCAGGCCACCGGGGAAACCAAUUUGAGCGCCAACCGCAAAUAUCAGCUCGGCUAGGUACCUGGGGACCCGCCCCGGUUGAAACUGGGUGGCUGGUCCCCAGGCGUUUGAAGGGUUGGGAUUCCAAAAGAUCCACCUUCCGUGCUCCCCUCAAGCUGCCCCUCCUUUGGCUCCCUCCCGGGCCAGAUUUUCCUCCUCCAAGUCUGGGUCUCAGCCUGAGAUCUAUGCUUAGAGUGGAGGCACUUUGCAAACAGCGGGGGCAGAGGCUCUACGUGAACCAACCGCGCCACCUGCCGGCCAGAUUCGGGAGCGCGCGGACCCGGAGCAAAGCAGAACGGACAAAGACCUCAGCCAGCCACACAGGUUGUCCAAGCCCUGCUAGUAAUUUAUUUACCGAUUUGGCCAGGUCCUCCCAUACUACGGUACGGAAAGUCCUGUCUCGCCUCCUUCCACCUAGACUACGAAAGAAGAACUCGGAAAACGUUUCAUGGAGGAACUUCACAUUCAAAGGAUUUCAUGAGUAGCUUGUCCCCUAAAAUGGGAAUAUGGAGUAAAAAUCCAAGCAGCACGGCGAGGUGUGGGGCGGGUAGAAAACCGAGCGUGGCUCCAGGCGCUUUCUGAAUGUUGUCAUGGAGAACCGAUCGCUUUUCCUGUCCGGGGCUGGAGAACUGUGCUUGCAAACUCAGACCCGGACCAAUCACACCAGCAACUUUUGCAGAAGGCGAGAGUGCGGCGAUGGGCAGUAGCUGAGUUGGUUGUCCAGAGGGACAGCAGUGAAGGCUCCUGGCAUUUUGACUCUGCGGUUUGGAAAAACCUAUUGGAAUGUCACCCACAGGGGAAGUGAAUUUCCGUUAUUGUAGCUACUGAUUUUACAUCAGUGAAGCGCGGGGGGAGGAAUUAUGCACGCGGGAAUAUAUGUGUAUGCAUAAAUUAUUAAUAAUAACCGCGCUAAGUUCCCUU